rnacentral:rRNA from 1 species
CCUUCGGGAGGCAGCAGUGAGGAAUAUUGGUCAAUGGACGAGAGUCUGAACCAGCCAAGUAGCGUGAAGGAUGACUGCCCUAUGGGUUGUAAACUUCUUUUAUGAAGGAAUAAAACGAGGCACGUGUGCCUUUUUGCAUGUACUUUAUGAAUAAGGAACGGCUAACUCCGUGCCAGCAGCCGCGGUAAUACGGAGGAUCCGAGCGUUAUCCGGAUUUAUUGGGUUUAAAGGGAGCGUAGAUGGGUUGUUAAGUCAGUUGUGAAAGCUUGGGGCUCAACCGGAAAAUUGCAAUUGAUACUGGCAAGCUUGAGUACAGUAGAGGGAGGUGGAAUUCGUGGUGUAGCGGUGAAAUGCUUAGAGAUCACGAAGAACCCCGAUUGCGAAGGCAGCUUACUAAACUGUGACUGACGUUGAGGCGCGAAAGUGUGGGUAUCAAACAGGAUUAGAUACCCUGGUAGUC